CUAAUGCCGGGUAUUGUGCCCUACUGCAUAGUAGGUUAACGAAAGAUUUAUCGUUGUGGGAUGAGCUUGCGUCCGAUUAGCUAGUUGGCGGGGUAAUAGCCCACCAAGGCGACGAUCGGUAGCCGGCCUGAGAGGGUGAUCGGCCACAUUGGGACUGAGAUACGGCCCAGACUCCUACGGGAGGCAGCAGUAGGGAAUAUUGCGCAAUGGGGGGAACCCUGACGCAGCAACGCCACGUGUGGGAAGAAGCAUUUCGGUGUGUAUACCACUGUCGUAAAGGAAUAACGGAAGACUUCGGUCUUUAUGAAUGUACUUUUAGAGGAAGCACCGGCAAACUUCGUGCCAGCAGCCGCGGUAAUACGAGGGGUGCAAGCGUUGUUCGGAAUCACUGGGCGUAAAGGGAGCGUANGCGGAAGUGCAAGCAAUCUGUAUAAUCCUGGGGCCCAACCCCAGUUCUGCAGAUUGGACUGUAUUUCUUGUAUAGUUCAGAGGCAAGCGGAAUUUCUGGUG
rnacentral:rRNA from 1 species